rnacentral:tRNA from 1 species
UUGAGCAUGACGUCAUCGUCCUGUCGGGCGUCCUCACAAAUUACCUGCAUUCAGAGAUGCGUAUCGGCACAGGCCGGUAUGCGAAAGUCCCAUCAUGGGGCCUUAGCUCAGCUGGGAGAGCACCUGCUUUGCAAGCAGGGGGUCGUCGGUUCGAUCCCGACAGGCUCCACCAUUUGAGUGAAACGACUUUGGGUCUGUAGCUCAGGUGGUUAGAGCGCACCCCUGAUAAGGGUGAGGUCGGUGGUUCGAGUCCUCCCAAACCCACCACUCUGAAUGUAGUGCACACUUAAGAAUUUAUAUGGAUCAACGUUGAGGCUGAGACAUGUUCUUUUAUAACUUGUGACGUAGCGAGCGUUUGAGAUAUCUAUCUAAACGUGUCGUUGAGGCUAAGGCGGGGACUUCGAGUCCCUAAAUAAUUGA